rnacentral:lncRNA from 1 species
GUAAGUCAGCCGGGCUUGCAUGUAGGGUAAUGCUCGCAUUUCCCACACUUUGAAAGCUCCUCCUAAGGCAGAGGGGAGGGAAUUAAACUAGAAUGAGCUUGGGGCUCAUUCUGGCUGAAAGACUCACACCGGAGCCUGAGCCACAGCAGGUGUGUGAUCUGGAACCCCACCAAGCCUGUUCACCCCACAGCUGUGGGCGAAGGCAGAGCUGUCCUGCGGUUUCGUGCUGUGGCUGUUGCUCAGGUUGGAGAUGCUGUUCUGCAGACGCCUCGGCUGCAGUUGCCUUCGCAUGACGGGGACCCGCUCUCUGCAGCAGAGUGAUGAGACUACUGGAGUAUGAGCUGAGAACAGCUGGGCUCCGGAGGGAGUCUCUCACCGUUUAACCAAAGGUCACCCCUGCAGCCCUUCCUGUACCUGCCUGCGGAGAUGUGAGAAAGCAGGCAGCCCAGCAACUACAGUGUCUUCAGUUAUGAAAGGAGGCAACUGGCCUCUAUGACCGUGAAGGUCCCUUAUGGUGCUCUGAGCUGAUCUCACAUGACUUGCCAUGUCUGCACCUGGAAUCCAAACCUGUGAACCCCUGGCUGCCAAAGUGGAGCACGUGAACCUAACUGCUAUGCCACCAAGCUCGCCCAUGAGAGCAAUUUUUAAAAAAUUUUUUUUGUUUUACUUCCUGACAAAUAGGAAAGAUUGUUUCAGAAAUGAAGUUUAUUUUGGAGCCCCAUACAAAGAAUAAUAACAUGAAACUGUCUUUCCAUUCCUCUUUUAAUAUGUCUCUGCCAGGCUUUUUGAAUAUUUAACGUGCUUUCCUGUGACAUUUUAGAAAUUUUCAUUAAGGGCAUAUGGUUUAAAGCUUAAAAGCCAGGUUUUAGCAUCAGAUGGAUCUGAAUUGAAGUUCUUUCAUGGCCAUUUGUUAGCUGUGUGACCAAAGGCAAAUUAGGCAGCGCCUCUGAACCCCUGUUGUCUCAAACAUAAAUUGGGGAUAAUACAAAUACCUUUCUCAUGGGUUUCUGUGGGGAUUAAGUGAGAAAAAUGAGUGUUAAGAGCCUGGCAUGCGGUCUGGCACAUAGUAUGAACUCACUAGCUGCUCUCACCACCACCACCACCACCUGUGAAGUAGGAAAGGCCAAAGAGAAUCAACCCAUAUUGCAGAUAGAGAAACCAGAAUCCAUAUUUGACUGGCCAGAAACAGCAAGAGAACCGAGUUGCACCCGCUCGUCAAUUAAGCUGUCUUUAUUUAUUAGCUUCCUUCCCCCAUUGUGAACGUAAACCACAAAAGCAUCCAAACCCUGCUUUGGAAGAGUGUUGGAGUGGAUGGAGGGGCUUCGCCUCAGUGGGAGCAUCCAGGAGGAGGGAGAGCUUCCUUUCCACGUGCAACCAGAGGCGGACAUGCCGAAAGCUGAGUGUGACGGUGACACACUGGGUGUGAAUGUUCCAGCAAACAACUUGGAACCAGGGAGAAGAGGGAUGACGCUGUUCCAACUGGGUGGCUGACCGCAGCACUCUGCUCUCAUGGCAGAGUAAUCGGCGAGGACGCAACCUUUGUCUGAUUCCCCUGAUAUAGUCUGACCUGGAGCUGGGAGGGUUGGAAUUUUGUUUCCUUCUGUUUGGUUUUUAACGACAAAGAGGGAUGAAUGUGGGUUUGGGAGUGGGGGAAAGAUCCUGAGAGUAAGCGUUCAAAUGGCAGGUUUCAAGAGAACAAAAUUUUUUGCUUAUAUAAUAGCUUGUUCUUAUGUCUACCAAUAAAACAUAUCAAUACUCAAUUAAAUUUAUUGAUAAAUACUGAUAAAAUAAUAUAUAGGGAUUCACUUUGAGUAAUGGCCUACAAAUACUUACUUUUUAUGAUAGUGUACUAUAAUGAUCUACAUUUUCCAAGUUUUAAAA